CUGCUCUCCACACUAUCACACCUUGUUAUCCUGGCGCUCCGGCUAUGCACCUGCAACCUCUCCUUGGAGCCCCCCUUCUUAUCAUCCUCUUUUUUCCGCCCUCCGCCCCGGCGGUCGGACAGAGGUAGUGCGCGCUCAGCAGCGGGAGUGCGCAAAGCGGUCGGCAUGCACCUGGAGAGAAACCGCCCCGCCAAGCCGGCCAAGGGCUUAACCAGAGACGCAGCAGGAUGCGGAACGAUGCUCUAACGACAGUGAUAUAGCAGCAGAGCACCGGGUGGAUAUCAGAGCUGCAGCAUGGGCGUGGGAAAAAGGCGCAAUGACAGCGAUGUGAUUCCACAGAUAUAAGAAGGGUGGGUGGGGGGAACCCGAGUUACGUUUGGACCAGAGUUGUGCAUUUUAAAGCUUCGAUUUGGUUGCUCUGAAAUUCAUCAGACACAACACUUUGUUUUACCUCCCGGUCUACCUUCACCGGAGUUUAAAGGGAUGGAGAAAAGCGCACAGCAGCAGUCCAAAAGCGCAGAGAGACCAGCAGAGGACAUCUCCAAAAUUCCCGAUGAGGAGCUGCUGAAGUGGGGUAAAGAGGAGCUGGUGAGGCGGCUGCGGAGGGCAGAAGCAGAAAAAAGGGGCGUCAUCGUGGAGCACGGCAAUCUGAUGCGGGAGGUGAACCGGAGACUCCAACAACACCUGAACGAGAUACGGAGUUUGAAGGACGUGAACCAGAAACUGCAGGAGGACAACCAGGAGCUGAGGGACCUGUGCUGCUUCCUGGAUGACGACCGGCAGAAAGGGAAGCGGGUGUCGCGGGAAUGGCAGCGAUUGGGUCGCUACAGCGCUGGCCUGAUGAGGAAGGAAGUGGCUAUCUAUUUGCAGAAGCUUAAGGAGCUGGAGCAGCGGCAGAUGGAGGUGAUCCGGGAGAACCUGGAGCUUAAGGAGGUGUGCCUCAUGUUAGAAGAGGAGAGGGCCACAGUUGUGGCUGGAAGCACAGGGGGAAGUGGUGGUGGUCAGGGAGGCCCUGGCUGCAGGAACUCCAUUGACAGUCAAAGUAGCCUGUCUCAGCUGGGCGGUGGCAUGCCUACACCAGGCCUGUUGCGGGAUGUUGGCGAUGGAAGCAGCACCUCCAGCGCAGGGAGCACAGACAGCCCAGAUAACCCUCACCAUAAACCCUCCCCUCUUGGCUCCAAUUCAAGCCCUGGAUCUGGCUCAAGAUGCAGCUCUUCAGGACAAAAGAGAGAUGUUUGUGAAUUCAGCGGGAGGAGGCGCAGCUCCACCACGGAGUACCACACCUUUCCCCAGUCCUGCCGGCCCCGUGGAGGGUCCCUCACCAACCUAGAGCUUCACAGCUUUCGAGGACACAGCCCAGAGAAACACAGCAAGUCUCCUACCAGACUACCUUGUGGCUCCCACUCCAAACCCUGCAGCUCUGACCUACUAGCACAGAAACAGCUACUGAUGUCAGGACAGGCAUCUCCAGGCAGUGGCAAGGGCUCAGCUAAGUCCAGCCCAGAUCUGAGUCAGCGACACCGGCAGGUAAACUCAGCAGGGGCUGGGAGUCCUGAAGCCAAGCAGAUAGCAAUGGGCACACCUGAGCACCUGAGAAAAGGGCGGGUGAUUGUGGGAAGUCCAGAGUCUAUACGGCAGCACUAUCACUAUCAUCAGAGCCCAGGGGUGGAGCACAGCAAGGGGAAGUAUAGUAGUGGCUCCCCUGGCAGGGAUGGAAGUCACAGGAGACCAGCGGGUGAAGAGAUGGCCCCCCACCACCAGAGUCUGUACAACGGUAGGCACAUGCUCUGAUAUCUGCUGGCUGCUGCACCAACUCAUGUAGGAGUGUUAAACUGUGGGACAGCUUCGAUGCUUCCUGACCAUGACAUGCCUCUUGAUGAGAUGCUGCUGUGACAACAUGCACCCCAGAGAGAGCAGAAGGGGCAAGAGGAUCGAUACAUAACCGGUCGCAUAAAUGAUCAGGCCAAUCAAAACUUCGCAGUGAACAGCGACAACAAGCAGACAUAAAUACUCUCUCUGCCUUUUCUGCUGUUGCUGCUACUGAUGCUGCUAUGGAUUUACUGAGGACCACCAGAAAAAAACGAAUGUCAUUGUUCAGAUGGGCGAAGAUUUGUCCCUGCAUUGCCAAAAGGAACAGAAGAAAACAAAACAACUGAGAAUCUGCGGUUGCCAAUUAUAAAGUCCUACCUCUUUGGAAAGACAGAGCCCUUAUGGAUAAAAUAAGUUGUAUAUCAAGAGUAGUUGUUCCUGCUAACAGUCAAGGAUACAUUCCUGUCUCUUCGCUGUCACACCUGUGAGCAUUUGAAAAUUAAAAUGUGUGAAAACGCAGUUUUAGGUAAUGGUAACUACUUUUACAAAGUAAUUGUGGAUCUGGAAUUGAAGCACAAAAAGUUUACUUUAACCUCUCAACAUCUGUUAGAUUACCAGUGACAAGUUUGCGGUUAGUAUUAGGUUCAUGUCUACUUUUUAUAUUGUAUUGUAACCAAUUGAAAAUCUUAAAACUGUUAGACCAACAUGCAUGUAAAAGAACUGAUUUGAAAGCAACAUUUCCUAGUUUAUGAAACUAUGCUUGUUUAGCAUGUGGCUUAAACCUAAUUAUAACCUUUUCCUCAUUUGGUUCACCUGGUGGAUGUUAGGAGGUUAACAUUUUUUGUGGAUAAAUUUGAUAGUUUUGGCCAUAAUUGUUAGAAAUUAUAUUUCUAUUCACUACAGAAUUUCUCAAGAUGUAAGACAAGAAACUAAUUUGACAAUUGGCAGUCACAAAGGAUGGGACAAGCCACUUUCGUUUUUGAGUUUUAGUUAGUUGUUACUACAUACAUCUACUGACGCAUGACCACAGUGUGCAGUAUUAGAGCCAACCAUGUAUAGGCCCUGACUACAAAAUAUAUAGAAAAACAUAUGUACCUAUAAUUAUAUACACACAUGUAAUGAAGAAUACACAUAAAACACUAAAAAUACAUAUCACUACAAAAAAGUAAAAAAAGCAAAUAUAGAUUAAAAAAAUACAUCAUCAUAACAUCAACACAUCAACACACAGGUGAUGGGGACAAAAUAUGGUCUCUCGUAGGGGCCCCAAAAUGUGAUUGUAAACAUGCUUUUGUUCCUACACAAUGAGUAUUAAAUAUAUAUACACACACGCACACACACAGUCAUGUGUUUAACUCUUGCAGUAAGUUACAUUAAUUUCCUGUGGAUUUGCUCUAAAUGUACCCAUUCUGCCUUUCCUUUGCUUUUGUUACAAUUGUGGAUGCAUAUAUUAAAUACAUAUAUGUUUUAGAUAAUGAGGUCAGUGAAUGAACAAAUAUCUCAAAACGUCUUGAUGCAUGCUCAAUCAUCCAGGUAAGUAAAUCUCCAAAAGUUGAUUCUGUUCAUCUGGACGUAGCGUUUUGUGGGAGAAACGUUUCGUCACUCAUCCAAGUGACUUCUUCAGUCUCAGCUGACUGCAGGUUUCCCCAAUCUUAACCCAGGAACGCUGGUUAGAGCGCGGAGUCAAGGAGGCCAUUUACGUGAAAAGGGAAAGACCAUCUCUGAAUCGAGGAGGGGGCUUAAGGGUACAGCUUUCGCCAUCUUACAAUGCUGUGAUUGCAGCCAUUCCCCAACUCUCUCUGAAUGGUACUCAUGGCCAUUGAUCAGUGGGUUUUGGUCAGUGGUUGUUGAUCAAUGGUCAUGAGACUUUGCAUAAUUAAGAUUAAGGAACUGACCUCCCAGCCCAUUGUUCCUUCAGUGGGCUGGUUUCAGUCAUUAUGCAAAUGUACUGCUUAUAAGAUUGGGGAAACCUGCAGUCAGCUG